AGCGUACACGGUGGAUGCCCUGGCAGUCAGAGGCGAUGAAGGACGUGCUAAUCUGCGAUAAGCGUCGGUAAGGUGAUAUGAACCGUUAUAACCGGCGAUUUCCGAAUGGGGAAACCCAGUGUGUUUCGACACACUAUCAUUAACUGAAUCCAUAGGUUAAUGAGGCGAACCGGGGGAACUGAAACAUCUAAGUACCCCGAGGAAAAGAAAUCAACCGAGAUUCCCCCAGUAGCGGCGAGCGAACGGGGAGGAGCCCAGAGCCUGAAUCAGUGUGUGUGUUAGUGGAAGCGUCUGGAAAGGCGCGCGAUACAGGGUGACAGCCCCGUACACAAAAAUGCACAUGCUGUGAGCUCGAUGAGUAGGGCGGGACACGUGGUAUCCUGUCUGAAUAUGGGGGGACCAUCCUCCAAGGCUAAAUACUCCUGACUGACCGAUAGUGAACCAGUACCGUGAGGGAAAGGCGAAAAGAACCCCGGCGAGGGGAGUGAAAAAGAACCUGAAACCGUGUACGUACAAGCAGUGGGAGCACAGAGCAAUCUGUGUGACUGCGUACCUUUUGUAUAAUGGGUCAGCGACUUAUAUUCUGUAGCAAGGUUAACCGAAUAGGGGAGCCGAAGGGAAACCGAGUCUUAACUGGGCGUUAAGUUGCAGGGUAUAGACCCGAAACCCGGUGAUCUAGCCAUGGGCAGGUUGAAGGUUGGGUAACACUAACUGGAGGACCGAACCGACUAAUGUUGAAAAAUUAGCGGAUGACUUGUGGCUGGGGGUGAAAGGCCAAUCAAACCGGGAGAUAGCUGGUUCUCCCCGAAAGCUAUUUAGGUAGCGCCUCGUGAAUUCAUCUCCGGGGGUAGAGCACUGUUUCGGCAAGGGGGUCAUCCCGACUUACCAACCCGAUGCAAACUGCGAAUACCGGAGAAUGUUAUCACGGGAGACACACGGCGGGUGCUAACGUCCGUCGUGAAGAGGGAAACAACCCAGACCGCCAGCUAAGGUCCCAAAGUCAUGGUUAAGUGGGAAACGAUGUGGGAAGGCCCAGACAGCCAGGAUGUUGGCUUAGAAGCAGCCAUCAUUUAAAGAAAGCGUAAUAGCUCACUGGUCGAGUCGGCCUGCGCGGAAGAUGUAACGGGGCUAAACCAUGCACCGAAGCUGCGGCAGCGACACUGUGUGUUGUUGGGUAGGGGAGCGUUCUGUAAGCCUGUGAAGGUGUGCUGUGAGGCAUGCUGGAGGUAUCAGAAGUGCGAAUGCUGACAUAAGUAACGAUAAAGCGGGUGAAAAGCCCGCUCGCCGGAAGACCAAGGGUUCCUGUCCAACGUUAAUCGGGGCAGGGUGAGUCGACCCCUAAGGCGAGGCCGAAAGGCGUAGUCGAUGGGAAACAGGUUAAUAUUCCUGUACUUGGUGUUACUGCGAAGGGGGGACGGAGAAGGCUAUGUUGGCCGGGCGACGGUUGUCCCGGUUUAAGCGUGUAGGCUGGUUUUCCAGGCAAAUCCGGAAAAUCAAGGCUGAGGCGUGAUGACGAGGCACUACGGUGCUGAAGCAACAAAUGCCCUGCUUCCAGGAAAAGCCUCUAAGCAUCAGGUAACAUCAAAUCGUACCCCAAACCGACACAGGUGGUCAGGUAGAGAAUACCAAGGCGCUUGAGAGAACUCGGGUGAAGGAACUAGGCAAAAUGGUGCCGUAACUUCGGGAGAAGGCACGCUGAUAUGUAGGUGAAGUCCCUCGCGGAUGGAGCUGAAAUCAGUCGAAGAUACCAGCUGGCUGCAACUGUUUAUUAAAAACACAGCACUGUGCAAACACGAAAGUGGACGUAUACGGUGUGACGCCUGCCCGGUGCCGGAAGGUUAAUUGAUGGGGUCAGCGCAAGCGAAGCUCUUGAUCGAAGCCCCGGUAAACGGCGGCCGUAACUAUAACGGUCCUAAGGUAGCGAAAUUCCUUGUCGGGUAAGUUCCGACCUGCACGAAUGGCGUAAUGAUGGCCAGGCUGUCUCCACCCGAGACUCAGUGAAAUUGAACUCGCUGUGAAGAUGCAGUGUACCCGCGGCAAGACGGAAAGACCCCGUGAACCUUUACUAUAGCUUGACACUGAACAUUGAGCCUUGAUGUGUAGGAUAGGUGGGAGGCUUUGAAGUGUGGACGCCAGUCUGCAUGGAGCCGACCUUGAAAUACCACCCUUUAAUGUUUGAUGUUCUAACGUGGACCCGUGAUCCGGGUUGCGGACAGUGUCUGGUGGGUAGUUUGACUGGGGCGGUCUCCUCCUAAAGAGUAACGGAGGAGCACGAAGGUUGGCUAAUCCUGGUCGGACAUCAGGAGGUUAGUGCAAUGGCAUAAGCCAGCUUGACUGCGAGCGUGACGGCGCGAGCAGGUGCGAAAGCAGGUCAUAGUGAUCCGGUGGUUCUGAAUGGAAGGGCCAUCGCUCAACGGAUAAAAGGUACUCCGGGGAUAACAGGCUGAUACCGCCCAAGAGUUCAUAUCGACGGCGGUGUUUGGCACCUCGAUGUCGGCUCAUCACAUCCUGGGGCUGAAGUAGGUCCCAAGGGUAUGGCUGUUCGCCAUUUAAAGUGGUACGCGAGCUGGGUUUAGAACGUCGUGAGACAGUUCGGUCCCUAUCUGCCGUGGGCGCUGGAGAACUGAGGGGGGCUGCUCCUAGUACGAGAGGACCGGAGUGGACGCAUCACUGGUGUUCGGGUUGUCAUGCCAAUGGCACUGCCCGGUAGCUAAAUGCGGAAGAGAUAAGUGCUGAAAGCAUCUAAGCACGAAACUUGCCCCGAGAUGAGUUCUCCCUGACUCCUUGA
rnacentral:rRNA from 1 species